rnacentral:rRNA from 2 species
GGAUGAACGCUGGCGGCGUGCCUAAUACAUGCAAGUCGAACGAGUUCUCGUUGAUGAUCGGUGCUUGCACCGAGAUUCAACAUGGAACGAGUGGCGGACGGGUGAGUAACACGUGGGUAACCUGCCCUUAAGUGGGGGAUAACAUUUGGAAACAGAUGCUAAUACCGCAUAGAUCCAAGAACCGCAUGGUUCUUGGCUGAAAGAUGGCGUAAGCUAUCGCUUUUGGAUGGACCCGCGGCGUAUUAGCUAGUUGGUGAGGUAAUGGCUCACCAAGGCGAUGAUACGUAGCCGAACUGAGAGGUUGAUCGGCCACAUUGGGACUGAGACACGGCCCAAACUCCUACGGGAGGCAGCAGUAGGGAAUCUUCCACAAUGGACGCAAGUCUGAUGGAGCAACGCCGCGUGAGUGAAGAAGGCUUUCGGGUCGUAAAACUCUGUUGUUGGAGAAGAAUGGUCGGCAGAGUAACUGUUGUCGGCGUGACGGUAUCCAACCAGAAAGCCACGGCUAACUACGUGCCAGCAGCCGCGGUAAUACGUAGGUGGCAAGCGUUAUCCGGAUUUAUUGGGCGUAAAGCGAGCGCAGGCGGUUUUUUAAGUCUGAUGUGAAAGCCCUCGGCUUAACCGAGGAAGCGCAUCGGAAACUGGGAAACUUGAGUGCAGAAGAGGACAGUGGAACUGCAUGUGUAGCGGUGAAAUGCGUAGAUAUAUGGAAGAACACCAGUGGCGAAGGCGGCUGUCUGGUCUGUAACUGACGCUGAGGCUCGAAAGCAUGGGUAGCGAACAGGAUUAGAUACCCUGGUAGUCCAUGCCGUAAACGAUGAAUGCUAGGUGUUGGAGGGUUUCCGCCCUUCAGUGCCGCAGCUAACGCAUUAAGCAUUCCGCCUGGGGAGUACGACCGCAAGGUUGAAACUCAAAGGAAUUGACGGGGGCCCGCACAAGCGGUGGAGCAUGUGGUUUAAUUCGAAGCAACGCGAAGAACCUUACCAGGUCUUGACAUCUUUUGAUCACCUGAGAGAUCAGGUUUCCCCUUCGGGGGCAAAAUGACAGGUGGUGCAUGGUUGUCGUCAGCUCGUGUCGUGAGAUGUUGGGUUAAGUCCCGCAACGAGCGCAACCCUUAUGACUAGUUGCCAGCAUUUAGUUGGGCACUCUAGUAAGACUGCCGGUGACAAACCGGAGGAAGGUGGGGAUGACGUCAAAUCAUCAUGCCCCUUAUGACCUGGGCUACACACGUGCUACAAUGGAUGGUACAACGAGUUGCGAGACCGCGAGGUCAAGCUAAUCUCUUAAAGCCAUUCUCAGUUCGGACUGUAGGCUGCAACUCGCCUACACGAAGUCGGAAUCGCUAGUAAUCGCGGAUCAGCACGCCGCGGUGAAUACGUUCCCGGGCCUUGUACACACCGCCCGUCACACCAUGAGAGUUUGUAACACCCGAAGCCGGUGGCGUAACCCUUUUAGGGAGCGAGCCGUCUAAGGUGGGACAAAUGAUUAGGGUGAAGUCGUAACAAGGU